GACGAACGCUGGCGGCGUGGAUUAGGCAUGCAAGUCGGACGGUAGGGCUUUAUCGUAAGAUAGAGUUUGAGAGUGGCGAACGGGUGAGUAACACGUAGGAAUCUACCCUUAAGACGGGGACAACCCAGGGAAACUUGGGCUAAUACCGGAUGUGAGCAACUUUUAGUUGUUUGAAAGGUGGCGUAAGCUGUCGCUUGGGGAUGAGCCUGCGUCCUAUUAGUUAGUUGGUGAGGUAACGGCUCACCUAGGCAAUGAUAGGUAGGCGGCCUUAACGGGUGGUCGCCCACACUGGGAUUGAGACACGGACCAGACUCCUACGGGAGGCAGCAGUGAGGAAUAUUGGACAAUGGGCGCAGGCCUGAUCCAGCCAUGCCGCGUGCAGGAUGACGGUCCUAUGGAUUGUAAACUGCUUUUGCACAGGAAGAAACAACGCUACGUGUAGCGUCUUGACGGUACUGUGAGAAUAAGGAUCGGCUAACUCCGUGCCAGCAGCCGCGGUAAUCA
rnacentral:rRNA from 1 species